AAAGUCGUAACAAGGUAACCGUAGGUGAACCUGCGGUUGGAUCAUUAAUAAGUUUUUGGUUUCAAACCAAACAACCCUGUGUGCUAUGUUUUCUGUUUCUCGUGGUUCGAGUGCCCAGUUCUCAUUAAGAGAACUGCGCCUGCGUUUGACUUUGAUGAGAUUUCUUCUCGUCGGUUGAAUGGCUGUUCCACGAAAAGAGUCUGGGCGUGUUGAGUCUUCAGAAGUAUUUCUGCUGAUUCCAUUUGCAGACUUGUAAAUCAACCUAUUAAGCUGUAUUCUUUAAUGUCUUAUUUUUUUCACAUUUUUUCGAUGUGUAAAUUUUAUAACAACUUUUGACAACGGAUCUCUUGGCUCUC
rnacentral:misc_RNA from 1 species